ACGGGUGAGUAAUGCAUCGGGACCUACCCAGACGUGGGGGAUAACCUCGGGAAACCGGGACUAAUACCGCAUACGUCCUAUGGGAGAAAGCGGGGGACCUUCGGGCCUCGCGCGGCUGGACGGACCGAUGUGCGAUUAGCUAGUUGGUAGGGUAAUGGCCUACCAAGGCGACGAUCGCUAGCUGGUCUGAGAGGAUGAUCAGCCACACUGGGACUGAGACACGGCCCAGACUCCUACGGGAGGCAGCAGUGGGGAAUAUUGGACAAUGGGCGCAAGCCUGAUCCAGCAAUGCCGCGUGUGUGAAGAAGGCCUUCGGGUUGUAAAGCACUUUUAUCAGGAACGAAAUACCACGGGUUAAUAACCUAUGGGGCUGACGGUACCUGAGGAAUAAGCACCGGCUAACUUCGUGCCAGCAGCCGCGGUAAUACGAAGGGUGCAAGCGUUAAUCGGAAUUACUGGGCGUAAAGGGUGCGUAGGCGGUUGUUUAAGUCUGUCGUGAAAUCCCCGGGCUCAACCUGGGAAUGGCGAUGGAUACUGGGCAGCUAGAGUGUGUCAGAGGAUGGUGGAAUUCCCGGUGUA
rnacentral:rRNA from 2 species